rnacentral:rRNA from 1 species
GCGUGAGUGAUGAAGGCCCUAGGGUUGUAAAACUCUUUCGUCAGGGACGAUAAUGACGGUACCUGAAGAAGAAGCCCCGGCUAACUUCGUGCCAGCAGCCGCGGUAAUACGAAGGGGGCUAGCGUUGUUCGGAUUUACUGGGCGUAAAGCGCAUGUAGGCGGGUCGUUAAGUUGGGGGUGAAAUCCCGAGGCUCAACCUCGGAAUUGCCUUCAAAACUGGCGGCCUGGAGCAGAAGAGAGGCGAGUGGAAUUCCGAGUGUAGAGGUGAAAUUCGU